UAUCAUGGGCAAUUUUGUCAUUUCAAAUAACUUAGUAAAAUGGAAUGCAAAAGCAAGGGAAUGGGGUAUUCCCCCUCAUUCCAUAAGUUAGUUCAAUCUCUCUCCUCAACCUAACUCCUCAACCUCACUCCUCAACCUCAGUCAUCAUCCCACCCACCGGAGACCCACCCACCAGAACCGGAAGGUUUGAAGCCGGAAUUCGCCGGAAAUUUCGCCGGAAAGAGGCGUAACUGUGUUUUUUCGUGAAUUGAAGCCGAUAGUUUAAUGCAAGUCAGGGGUGGUGGAGGAAGAUUUCACAGCGAAAUGGAUAGAUAACAAUGACAUGUUCGUUGUAUUUUUGCGCGUCGGAUUGCUUUCUUUUGUAACGAUCUAAUGCAAGUGUAAUUUUAAGUACCUCACUUAACAUUCUAAUGGUUGUAUGGAUAAUGUUAAGUACUUUGUAUGAUUAUGGUUUUAUGAAUAUGUGAACUUAUCAUUUUGUAUUUAAAAUGAAGCAUCAUAUUGUGUUUAUCAUUUCCGCUAUAUUGUCAACAACAUAUCUAAUGGUGUCAAAAUUGCAACAUAUUUUGUU